rnacentral:rRNA from 1 species
GUGUCAGCAGCCGCGGUAAUACGAAGGGGGCGAGCGUUGUUCGGAAUUACUGGGCGUAAAGGGCGCGUAGGCGGCCGAUCAAGUCAGAUGUGAAAGUCCUGGGCUUAACCUGGGGACUGCAUUUGAUACUGAUUGGCUUGAAUGCAGGAGAGGAUAGCGGAAUUCCCAGUGUAGAGGUGAAAUUCGUAGAUAUUGGGAAGAACACCGGUGGCGAAGGCGGCUAUCUGGACUGUGAUUGACGCUGAGGCGCGAAAGCGUGGGGAGCAAACAGGAUUAGAAACCCUGGUAGUCC